AAGCAGCCACUCAUUCAAAGAGUGCGUAAUAGCUCACUGGUCGAGUGAUCCUGCGCCGAAGAUUUCCGGGGCUAAAACUUACUACCGAAGCUACGGCAUCAUUAUGAUGGGUAGGGGAGCUUCCCAUACGGGUUGAAGCAUGACCGUAAGGACAUGUGGACAGUAUGGGAGUGAGAAUGUUGGCAUGAGUAGCGAGAUGUGGGUG
rnacentral:rRNA from 1 species